rnacentral:lncRNA from 1 species
CCCCUCCACCGCCGGUCUACAAAUAUAAGUCGCCACCACCUCCUGUGUACCACGCCCCGGCUCCUGUUUACAAGUACAAGUCACCUCCUCCCCCCGUCUACCACUACAGCUCGCCACCACCGCCGGUUUACAAGUACAAGUCACCACCACCACCUGUGUACCACGCCCCGGCACCAGUUUACAAGUACAACUCGCCACCACCCCCAGUUUACAAGUACAGCUCGCCACCACCACCUGUUUACAAAUACAAGUCGCCACCACCACCUGUGUACCACACCCCGGCUCCUGUUUACAAGUACGAGUCGCCUCCUCCGCCGGUGUACAAGUACAGCUCCCCGCCGCCACCGGUCUACAAAUAUAAGUCGCCACCACCACCUGUGUACCACGUCCCAGCGCCGGUUUACAAGUACGAAUCUCCUCCGCCACCGGUGUACAAGUACAGCUCUCCGCCACCACCAGUCUACAAGUAUAAGUCGCCACCACCACCUGUGUACCACGCCCCUGCUCCAGUCUACAAGUACAAAUCUCCUCCGCCACCGGUGUACAAGUACAGCUCGCCACCACCACCGGUUUACAAAUACAAGUCGCCUCCUCCACCUGUUUACCACGCCCCGGCUCCAGUCUACAAGUACAAAUCCCCGCCAC